rnacentral:rRNA from 1 species
GACGAACGCUGGCGGCGUGCUUAACACAUGCAAGUCGAACGGAAAGGCCCUGCUUUUGUGGGGUGCUCGAGUGGCGAACGGGUGAGUAACACGUGAGUAACCUGCCCUUGACUUUGGGAUAACUUCAGGAAACUGGGGCUAAUACCGGAUAGGAGCUCCUGCUGCAUGGUGGGGGUUGGAAAGUUUCGGCGGUGGGGGAUGGACUCGCGGCUUAUCAGCUUGUUGGUGGGGGAGUGGCUUACCAAGGCUUUGACGGGUAGCCGGCCUGAGAGGGUGAACGGCCACAUUGGGACUAAGAUACGGCCCAGACUCCUACGGGAGGCAGCGGUGGGGAAUAUUGCACAAUGGGCGGAAGCCUGAUGCAGCAACGCCGCGUGCGGGAUGACGGCCUUCGGGUUGUAAAACGCUUUCGCCUGUGACGAAGCGUGAGUGACGGUAAUGGGUAAAGAAGCACCGGCUAACUACGUG